GCCAAUAGUAAUCGUGCGGUGCCUUUGAGAACACGGUACGGUCUCUCUCGUCAGUCUCCUUUCUCGUGGUGCGUUUUUACACGUCACGUCGUAAAGGGCGAAGGAAACGAAGGGAAGAGCGACGAGCCUUACGUACCGAACGUCGCGUCGUUCACGAAGAGAAAGAAUAUCCGUAGACCGGGGAACUGUCGUGAGAGGCAAGGGACAACCGUGAAGGAAAACAGCGGACAGGUCCGGAACCAGGGUUCCUAGCACCUUGCAACACUCGCCUGUCGCGUCUCUGUUUCCGUGCUAUCGUGUUCGAAAGACGCGGAGAAGCUGCAACUCUUCUUUGGUACCAGGAUUCCGCAGCGGGAGCCGCGCAAGACGAGCUUCAUCAACGCAACAACACCAGGCACCGAGAGAGGAGAGACUCAGCCGGAGCGGUUACAUCAACGAGGAUUUAAGGGUGGAACGUGACUACUAUUCGAGGAGGGAAAGGUCCAAGUCAGAAGGUAGAGAUCCAGCGUGACGGACGGAAGGACAAGGAUCCAUCCGUGUCCUGAAGACGUCAGCAGUUUGGUAGGCUUGUUUCAUCGUGGGCGAGCAACAGCGAACGGGAACGUCGCCAUGCCGGCAGGUAUUGGCGCUUCGUACAGGUCGUUAGGCGACCUGGGCGAAGACGUGUACAAAAGCACAACGAUCGUCGACCAAACACAGACCACCGGGCAGAGCGUCCUCGAGAGUGUCAAGAAGGCUUUCAGUUUCGCUUCGCCGAAGGUCGAGCUGAGGAAAAAGGACCCGCUGAUCGAGGACCGCCGUGAGAGCGUCUCGAUCGUCUCAAGCACGAUGCCCUCAGAUAGUAUGGAUGACAUCGAACUGAAAAAUAUUCAGCUGCAAUUUCCCGCGCUAAGAUACCUAUCGAGAGAUGACAGUUCCGUGCGGGAGGAGAGAGUGGAGACGGAUAAGGGAAGUCUGCUGGUGGCUGUGCAAGGGAAUAGAGCGAAACCUGCCAUUCUCACUUAUCACGACUUAGGCCUUAACUAUAUAUCGAGCUUCCAGGCGUUCUUCAAUUACAUCGACAUGCGAGUUUUACUCGAAAACUUCUGCGUUUAUCACGUGAAUGCACCGGGUCAGGAGGAAGGUGCACCUACGCUGCCUGAGGACUACGUCUAUCCGUCCAUGGACGAGCUGGCAGAACAGAUGCUGUUCGUUCUGGGCCAUUUUGGCCUGAAAUCCGUAAUCGGUUUUGGAGUCGGCGCCGGAGCUAACAUACUGGCGAGAUUCGCACUUGCUCAUCCUGAGAAGGUCAAUGCCCUCUGCUUGAUAAACUGUGUAUCGACGCAGGCAGGUUGGAUCGAGUGGGGCUAUCAGAAGCUGAACGUUCGUCACCUGAGAUCCCAGGGAAUGACUCAAGGUGUAUUGGACUAUUUGAUGUGGCAUCACUUUGGCAGGGGCACGGAGGAGAGGAAUCACGACCUCGUUCAGGUGUACAAGAACUACUUCGAGCGUCGCGUGAAUCCAACGAAUUUAGCUCUACUCAUCGACAGCUACGUCCGCCGUACAGAUCUGAACAUCACGAGGGAAUUAGACCCAACGCGUAAGAAGGAAGGUCUCACUCUCGUUGUACCUGUCAUGAAUAUUACCGGAGCACUAAGCCCACACGUCGAUGACACCGUCACGUUAAACGGCCGAUUAGAUCCUACGAACAGCUCUUGGAUGAAGAUUUCUGACUGCGGAAUGGUGCUGGAGGAACAGCCGGGCAAAGUAAGCGAGGCCUUCCGACUAUUUCUGCAGGGCGAAGGAUAUGUGGUGAGAUCCCCGCGGAAGCCCGUGACGCCGACAACACCCGAAGGUAAUUGUAAUUAGGAAUUGAAGGCCGCAAGGAGUCAAGCGCGCAGUUGGUCGGUUAGGCCACGUCUAUGUGUUAAUGGCACCGCUCUCACCACUGAAAAUGGCUGACUACAGACUGGCCUCCCUCGAGGGACUGAAUCACGUAUGCAGUAAGAA
rnacentral:misc_RNA from 1 species